rnacentral:rRNA from 1 species
GCGCAGCAGUCGCGAAUUUUCUCAAUGGGGGAAACCCUGAAGGAGCGACGCCGCGUGGAGGAUGAAGGUCUUCGGGUUGUAAACUCCUGUCAUUUGAGAACAAGUGGCCGAACGUAACUGCUUCGGCCUUGAUAGUAUCAGAAGAGGAAGGGACGGCUAACUCUGUGCCAGCAGCCGCGGUAAUACAGAGGUCUCAAGCGUUGUUCGGAUUCAUUGGGCGUAAAGGGUGCGUAGGUGGCGCCGUAAGUCGGGUGUGAAAUUUCGGAGCUUAACUCCGAAACUGCAUUCGAUACUGCGGUGCUUGAGGACUGGAGAGGAGACUGGAAUUUACGGUGUAGCAGUGAAAUGCGUAGAGAUCGUAAGGAAGACCAGUGGCGAAGGCGGGUCUCUGGACAGUUCCUGACACUGAUGCACGAAGGCCAGGGGAGCAAACGGGAUUAGAUACCCGCGUAGU